rnacentral:rRNA from 1 species
GAUGAACGCUGGCGGCGUGCCUAAUACAUGCAAGUCGAGCGAACGGACGAGAAGCUUGCUUCUCUGAUGUUAGCGGCGGACGGGUGAGUAACACGUGGAUAACCUACCUAUAAAACUGGGAUAACUUCGGGAAACCGUAGCUAAUACCGGAUAAUAUUUUGAACCGCAUGGUUCAAAAGUGAAAGACGGUCUUGCUGUCACUUAUAGAUGGAUCCGCGCUGCAUUAUCUAGUUGGUAAGGUAACGGCAUACCAAGGCAACGAUGCAUAGCCGACCUGAGAGGGUGAUCGGCCACACUGGAACUGAGACACGGUCCAGACUCCUACGGGAGGCAGCAGUAGGGAAUCUUCCGCAAUGGGCGAAAGCCUGACGGAGCAACGCCGCGUGAGUGAUGAAGGUCUUCGGAUCGUAAAACUCUGUUAUUAGGGAAGAACAUAUGUGUAAGUAACUGUGCACAUCUUGACGGUACCUAAUCAGAAAGCCACGGCUAACUACGUG